rnacentral:rRNA from 1 species
UGAACGCUGGCGGCGUGCCUAAUACAUGCAAGUCGAACGCACAGCGAAAGGUGCUUGCACCUUUCAAGUGAGUGGCGAACGGGUGAGUAACACGUGGACAACCUGCCUCAAGGCUGGGGAUAACAUUUGGAAACAGAUGCUAAUACCGAAUAAAACUUAGUGUCGCAUGACACAAAGUUAAAAGGCGCUUCGGCGUCACCUAGAGAUGGAUCCGCGGUGCAUUAGUUAGUUGGUGGGGUAAAGGCCUACCAAGACAAUGAUGCAUAGCCGAGUUGAGAGACUGAUCGGCCACAUUGGGACUGAGACACGGCCCAAACUCCUACGGGAGGCUGCAGUAGGGAAUCUUCCACAAUGGGCGAAAGCCUGAUGGAGCAACGCCGCGUGUGUGAUGAAGGCUUUCGGGUCGUAAAGCACUGUUGUAUGGGAAGAACAGCUAGAAUAGGAAAUGAUUUUAGUUUGACGGUACCAUACCAGAACGGGACGGCUAAAUACGUGCCAGCAGCCGCGGUAAUACGUAUGUCCCGAGCGUUAUCCGGAUUUAUUGGCCAUAAAGCGAGCGCAGACGGUUUAUUAAGUCUGAUGUGAAAGCCCGGAGCUCAACUCCGGAAUGGCAUUGGAAACUGGUUAACUUGAGUGCAGUAGAGGUAAGUGGAACUCCAUGUGUAGCGGUGGAAUGCGUAGAUAUAUGGAAGAACACCAGUGGCGAAGGCGGAUUACUGGACUGGAACUGACGUUGAGGCUCGAAAGUGUGGGUAGCAAACAGGAUUAGAUACCCUGGUAGUCCACACCGUAAACGAUGAACACUAGGUGUUAGGAGGUUUCCGCCUCUUAGUGCCGAAGCUAACGCAUUAAGUGUUCCGCCUGGGGAGUACGACCGCAAGGUUGAAACUCAAAGGAAUUGACGGGGACCCGCACAAGCGGUGGAGCAUGUGGUUCAAUUCGAAGCAACGCGAAGAACCUUACCAGGUCUUGACAUCCUUUGAAGCUUUUAGAGAUAGAAGUGUUCUCUUCGGAGACAAAGUGACAGGUGGUGCAUGGUCGUCGUCAGCUCGUGUCGUGAGAUGUUGGGUUAAGUUCCGCAACGAGCGCAACCCUUAUUGUUAGUUGCCAGCAUUCAGAUGGGCACUCUAGCGAGACUGCCGGUGACAAACCGGAGGAAGGCGGGGACGACGUCAGAUCAUCAUGCCCCUUAUGACCUGGGCUACACACGUGCUACAAUGGCGUAUACAACGAGUUGCCAACCCGCGAGGGUGAGCUAAUCUCUUAAAGUACGUCUCAGUUCGGAUUGUAGUCUGCAACUCGACUACAUGAAGUCGGAAUCGCUAGUAAUCGCGGAUCAGCACGCCGCGGUGAAUACGUUCCCGGGUCUUGUACACACCGCCCGUCACACCAUGGGAGUUUGUAAUGCCCAAAGCCGGUGGCCUAACCUUUUAGGAAGGAGCCGUCUAAGGCAGGACAGAUGACUGGGGUGAA